rnacentral:tRNA from 1 species
ACUUUCAUAGGAUAAUAGUUUUCCACUAAUCUUAGGCAUUAGUUUAUUCUUGGUGCAAAUCCAAGUGAAAGAA